rnacentral:snoRNA from 1 species
AUCCCAUGAUAUGGACAUCUUUGCAGAAGUUCUUUAAACCUCUCCCAAGCUUCAUAUAAGGACUUACCAUCAAAUUGUGUAAAUAAGGUGAUAUCAUUCCUCCUCUU